rnacentral:rRNA from 1 species
UACGUAGGGUGCGAGCGUUAAUCGGAAUUACUGGGCGUAAAGCGUGCGCAGGCGGUUUUGUAAGCCUGGUGUGAAAUCCCCGGGCUCAACCUGGGAAUGGCAUUUGGGACUGCAAGGCUGGAGUGCGGCAGAGGAGACUGGAAUUCCUGGUGUAGCAGUGAAAUGCGUAGAUAUCAGGAGGAACACCGAUGGCGAAGGCAGGUCUCUGGGCUGACACUGACGCUCAUGCACGAAAGCGUGGGGAGCAAACAGG